UAAUAAGAAACGAUAUCAAACACCAUUUACACAGCUAAGAUAAUAAGGAAUAUAUACAAGCAACCACCGUUACAGUUCAAACUAGCAGCAACUACUUCCAGUUGCCAGCAGUAUAUGUAUUUCCGCGACACAAAAUAACAUCACAAAUGUGAGAGGAGUACUUCCAACACUUAGGGAACAAGUACAUCGCAGCGGGAGACUACAACUUAAAACACACGUUAUGGGGAUCAAGACCUACACCUCGAGGUAGAACCCUGGAAAAAUACAUUAGAAACAAUAACCUCAAUAUAUUAUCCACAGGAACACCGACACAUUGGCCGACUGACCUGAACAAAAAACCAGAUCUUCUGGACUUUGCAGUUACAAGGGGACUAAACACAAAUAAACUAAAAAUAACACCCAACCUCGAGCUCAGCUCCGAUCAUACACCCAUAAUAAUUGAAUACAGAAACAAACCAAUUCACUAUAGCAAACCAGAAACACUAUGCAAUAAAACCACCAUUUGGCAAACUUUCAAAGAAAUAAUAGAAAGCAAAAUAAACUGCAACAUCCCGUUAAAAACUCCUGAACACAUAGAACAGGCAGUAGCAACAUUGACAGCAACUAUUCAGGAAGCAGCAAGGACAACCACUACUCCCGAACCAACCAGCAGACAAACAAUAACAAUACCGCAAGAAAUACUUGAAAUCAAAGAAAAAAGAAAAGCAAAAGCAAAAUGGCAAAAAUACAGAACCCGAGAAAACAAAAAACACUUAAACAAACUUGCAAAGGAAAUAAAAAACAAAAUAAAGGAGCACAACGAUAACGAAUUCUCAAAGUUCAUAGGGACACUCUCCACACACGAGAACACCAACUAUUCACUAUGGAAAGCCACGAAAAAAAUAAGGAAGUCAAUAAUACCCGUCCCGGCAAUCAGAAAAGCAGAUAACACAUGGGCAAGAAGCAACGAAGAACAAGCUGAAGAAUUCUCCAACCACCUCUACAACACAUUCACACCACACAUUACCAACAACAGCAACCUCAAAAGUCAUACGGAGGAGGAUCCACAAACCACUGCUACCGCAGCCGACAAGGAAUACACCAUACCUAAAACAUCGGCACAAGAAAUUAGAAACAUAAUUGAUAAAACAAAAAACAACAAAGCGCCAGGAACCGACCUAAUUAAUGGUAAAAUCUUAAAAAACCUUCCGCCAAAAGCAAUAAGACUAAUAACAGUAAUAUUCAACGCAAUUCUAAGAAUUCAAUACUUCCCCAAACCAUGGAAAUUAGCACAGAUCAAAAUGUUACAUAAACCAGGCAA
rnacentral:misc_RNA from 1 species